rnacentral:rRNA from 1 species
UACGUAGGGUGCAAGCGUUGUCCGGAAUUAUUGGGCGUAAAGAGCUCGUAGGCGGCUUGUCGCGUCGACUGUGAAAUCCCGCGGCUCAACCGCGGGUCUGCAGUCGAUACGGGCAGGCUAGAGUUCGGUAGGGGAGACUGGAAUUCCUGGUGUAGCGGUGAAAUGCGCAGAUAUCAGGAGGAACACCGAUGGCGAAGGCAGGUCUCUGGGCCGAUACUGACGCUGAGGAGCGAAAGCGUGGGGAGCGAACAGG